rnacentral:rRNA from 1 species
ACGAACGCUGGCGGCGUGCUUAACACAUGCCAGUCGAACGGAAAGGCCCUGCUUGCAGGGUACUCGAGUGGCGAACGGGUGAGUAACACGUGGGUGAUCUGCCCUGCACUUCGGGAUAAGCCUGGGAAACUGGGUCUAAUACCGGAUAGGAGCCAUUUUUAGUGUGAUGGUUGGAAAGUUUUUUCGGUGUAGGAUGAGCUCGCGGCCUAUCAGCUUGUUGGUGGGGUAAUGGCCUACCAAGGCGGCGACGGGUAGCCGGCCUGAGAGGGUGGACGGCCACAUUGGGACUGAGAUACGGCCCAGACUCCUACGGGAGGCAGCAGUGGGGAAUAUUGCACAAUGGGCGCAAGCCUGAUGCAGCGACGCCGCGUGGGGGAUGACGGCCUUCGGGUUGUAAACUCCUUUCGCUAGGGACGAAGCUUUUUGUGACGGUACCUAGAUAAGAAGCACCGGCUAACUACGUG